rnacentral:rRNA from 1 species
CAAUAGCGUAUAUUAAGGUUGUUGCAGUUAAAAAGCUCGUAGUUGGAUUUCUGGUAGGAGCGACCGUGCCGAACUUGAUUGUUCGAGUAUUGUGUUGUCUUCAGCCAUCCUCGUGGAGAACUUUUCUAACAUUAACUUGUUGGGAUUGGGACCCGCGUCGUUUACUGUGAAAAAAUUAGAGUGUUUAAAGCAGGCAUUAGCUUGAAUACAUUAGCAUGGAAUAAUAAGAUAGGACUUUGGUACUAUUUUGUUGGUUUGCAUACCAAAUUAAUGAUCAACAGGAACAGUUUGAGGAUAUUCGUAUGAACAUGUCAGAGGUGAAAUUCUUGGAUUUUGAUCAGACGAACUACUGCGAAAGCAUUUAUCAAGGAUGUUUUCAUUAA